rnacentral:rRNA from 1 species
UGGGGAAUAUUGCACAAUGGGCGCAAGCCUGAUGCAGCAACGCCGCGUGAACGAUGAAGGUCUUCGGAUCGUAAAGUUCUGUUGCAGGGGAAGAUAAUGACGGUACCCUGUGAGGAAGCCCCGGCUAACUACGUGCCAGCAGCCGCGGUAAUACGUCGGGGGCUAGCGUUAUCCGGAUUUACUGGGCGUAAAGGGUGCGUAGGUGGUCUUUCAAGUCGGUGGUUAAAGGCUACGGCUCAACCGUAGUUAGCCUCCGAAACUGGAAGACUUGAGUGCAGGAGAGGAAAGUGGAAUUCCCAGUGUAGCGGUGAAAUGCGUAGAUAUUGGGAGGAACACCAGUAGCGAAGGCGGCUUUCUGGACUGCAACUGACACUGAGGCACGAAAGCGUGGGUAGAAAACAGG